rnacentral:lncRNA from 1 species
AUUCAGCUUCUUCAAUACUAUUCCUAAUAUUCUCAGGAUGGCAGGUAAGGGAAUUAAGAAAAGGUCAGAGCUGCAAUCAAGGUGGAAUUUCUGGAACAAGAAUCAAAUUUAUCACUAGGAUUAGAAGCAUGAAUUUCAAGUUUGAAAUUUCUGUGUCUUGGAGAUCUUCCUCUACUACCUUAUAUGGUGGGGAAAAGGCUGCCUAAUUUUGCAAGACUUACUAUAAUGUGCCAGUAGUAAUGACAGUAUGGCAUUGAUGAAGGAGUAGACAACAUUCUUCAUGGAACAGAAUAAGGAGCUCAGAAAUAGACCCAUGGAAACAUUGUCAACAGAUCUUUGACAAGGGAGCACAGGACCCUCAGUCAAAUUCUUUCUUCUGAGGAGGCAUGGACAGAAGUUGCUACGAACCCGUAAGGAUAGGCCACCAGUAACACAGAAUAACUCUGAUCUCCUCCACCGUUAACCUAUUCAUCCCAGUUUCUCAUCUUGCUCUCAAGAUACUUCUCUCUGAUGGAGCGGAGAGUUUAAUAGGCAAGAAGCAAGGGAGAAGACAGAAGGAAGAAGCUUCCCCAUACAGAGAAAGAGGGAGGAGGGCUCCAAAGCUGAGAGAGGAGCCUCUAGUUUGUAGCAACUCAGCAUUCUGCAAAGACUCUGCUCCAGCUGGGCAAGUAACCUUGUUAUUGCAUACACAGGUAAGUCAAUUAUACAUUUUGCAAAGAGUACUUUGUCACAGGCCUCACUAUAAAUAGCAAUGAAGUAGCUUGAUUUAAUUGAAAUAAUGUGUAACUUCUUUUAUAUAAUUGGAUUUAGUUUCUAGUCCUUGUAUCUGACUAACAGUAAAGCAUAUUAACAUAAAAAUUUAUUAUUUAAUAAUUUCUACAUAUGUUUGCUUAUGUGAGAGUAGUACUAAGCAAAAAAGCCUCAGGGCCUCAAGUUCCAGAGAGAAUAGAGUAAGAGGCAGAUGAUGCUCAAACGUACCUCCUCACAUUUACUCAGAUGUUUUGGAUACUGUUUGGUGCUUCUUGGAUUUUUCUUUCUUCUUUUUUAAUCUCAAAAUUUGACUAUAGCAGGAAAUUUAUUCUCUUGUUCUGAUCAUCCUUUAAUCUCAUAUUUUCUUCUUCCCAUGGUCAAA